CAGUAAUAUCAACAACCACAAAGUCUUUCUCAACUUCGACUACAGCAGAUGUCUGAUGUUAGCUAGUCAUAUAGAGAUCAAAAUGUAAAUUCCACUCAGGGGUCACAAUUACCGCCUGGUCCAUUUGGCAUGCUUGGAUUAUUGAGUGUUAUUAAUAUGAAUGACCCAAAUCUAACAUCUCUUGCAUUGGGAAUUGAUUUAACAACAGUAGACUGAGCUUGAGCUUGAUAGAUAGUCUUUAUAAAACAUUUGGUUCUCCAUGGUCUGAUGAGCCUACCAAGGGGGAGCUUGAGUACUGCAGCCCAACAUGUUAUUAUGCCAAAACACCACCACCUCUACAUCAACUACAUUUCUCCAAAUUUCAGCUAUCAACCUUGUUUUACGUCUUCUACAGGUAUUCUAUUCUUCCCUUUUAUUUUUGGUGCUUUGCUCACAUACUUUGCUUCACAAAAAUCCAGAAUGUUGGAAAAGGUUGACAUGGAA